AGAGCAAGCAACAUUGCGACACUGGUGAGGAAAAACUCCCUUUUAGGAAGAAACCUUGGACAGACCCAUUCUCUUGGUAGGCCGUGUCUGACGGCUGAUUGGGGGUGUGAUGAACAAUGG